UUUCCUUGAAAGAGGGAAGUGCCUCGCAAGAGGAGCCUGGAGACAGGUGCUGCAUGGCUGUCGUCAGCUCGUGUCGUGAGAUGUUGGGUUAAGUCCCGCAACGAGCGCAACCCUUGUCUUUAGUUGCCAUCAUUCAGUUGGGACACUCUAAAGAGACUGCCGGUGUCAAACCGGAGGAAGGUGGGGAUGACGUCAAGUCCUCAUGGCCUUUAUGACCAGGGCUACACACGUACUACAAUGGCCGGUACAAAGGGCAGCCACUUAGCGAUAAGGAGCCAAUCCCGUAAAGCCGGUCUCAGUCCGGAUUGGAGUCUGCAACUCGACUCCAUGAAGUUGGAAUCGCUAGUAAUCGCAGAUCAGCACGCUGCGGUGAAUACGUUCCCGGGCCUU
rnacentral:rRNA from 1 species